rnacentral:rRNA from 1 species
UGGGGAAUAUUGCACAAUGGGCGCAAGCCUGAUGCAGCCAUGCCGCGUGUAUGAAGAAGGCCUUCGGGUUGUAAAGUACUUUCAGCGGGGAGGAAGGGAGUAAAGUUAAUACCUUUGCUCAUUGACGUUACCCGCAGAAGAAGCACCGGCUAACUCCGUGCCAGCAGCCGCGGUAAUACGGAGGGUGCAAGCGUUGUCCGGAUUUAUUGGGCGUAAAGCGAGCGCAGGCGGUUUCUUAAGUCUGAUGUGAAAGCCCCCGGCUCAACCGGGGAGGGUCAUUGGAAACUGGGAGACUUGAGUGCAGAAGAGGAGAGUGGAAUUCCAUGUGUAGCGGUGAAAUGCGUAGAUAUAUGGAGGAACACCAGUGGCGAAGGCGGCUCUCUGGUCUGUAACUGACGCUGAGGCUCGAAAGCGUGGGGAGCAAACGGG